GGAUUUUUGGCAGCAUGAAUGGAAUGGAUCUCUAUUAUAUGUUUGCCCUGAAAUGUUGUACGAAAAUAUACUCAGCAUCCAUUUGUGUGCCUUCACAGAAGAGUCUGGUGCAGGUUACAUUCAGCCCAACACUGUCUGAUGACGUAAUCAACGCAGAAGCUCUCCGCUGGAAAGAGGAGUUUCAUACUGACACCAGCAACUGCCAACAUACAGAACCUGAUGCCAAAAGCAAACUGGAGACCCACUUGCUUUCGUUAAAAGAUCAUGGCAACAAAGUGAUGCCUGCAAAUGGCAGCCCCUUCCAUUCCCCAAGCCCAGCAGAUAUUCAGGCAAGCUCUACUGAAUAUUUGGCUGUAAAGGCUUCACUAUUGCGCUCUUUCACUGAGCGUCACGUUCGUUACAUCAUAUCCUGCUUCAUCUCUUCUUCAGACAUAAUUCGGGAAACAUCGGAGGAGCCCAGAUACAGGUGA
rnacentral:lncRNA from 1 species